GGAGGCAGCAGUGAGGAAUAUUGGUCAAUGGGCGAGAGCCUGACACCUAGACACAGUGCCCGCGUGCAGGAAGAAUGCCCUAUGGGUUGUAAACUGCUUUUUCGCAUGAAGAACAUCCCGGACGUGUCCGGGACUGACGGUAAUGCGUGAAUAAGCACCGGCUAACUCCGUGCCAGCAGCCGCGGUAAUACGGAGGGUGCAAGCGUUAUCCGGAUUUAUUGGGUUUAAAGGGUGCGUAGGCGGCUUUUUAAGUCAGUGGUGAAAUCCUGCAGCUCAACUGUAGAACAGCCAUUGAAACUGAAGAGCUUGAGUAAUCUUGAGGUAGGCGGAAUGUGUAGUGUAGCGGUGAAAUGCUUAGAUAUUACACAAAACACCGAUUGCGAAGGCUGCUUACUAAGGAUUUACUGACGGGGGCCCGCACAAGCGGAGGAACAUGUGGUUAAUUCGAUGAUACGCGAGGAACCUUACCUGGGCUUAAAUGUGCUAUGACCGCCGGAGAAAUUUGGCUUUUCGCAAGAACAGAGUACAAGGUGCUGCAUGGUUGUCGUCAGCUCGUGCCGUGAGGUGUCGGGUUAAGUCCCAUAACGAGCGCAACCCUUAUUGUCAGUUGCUAACAGGUAAUGCUGAGGACUCUGGCGAGACUGCCACCGUAAGGUGUGAGGAAGGUGGGGAUGACGUCAAAUCAGCACGGCCCUUAUGUCCAGGGCUACACACGUGUUACAAUGGCCGAUACAAAGGGCAGCUACCGGGCGACCGGAUGCUAAUCUCUAAAGUCGGUCUCAGUUCGGAUCGAAGUCUGCAACCCGACUUCGUGAAGCUGGAUUCGCUAGUAAUCGCGCAUCAGCCAUGGCGCGGUGAAUACGUUCCCGGGCCUUGUACACACCGCCAUCCAUAUG
rnacentral:rRNA from 1 species